GUGAGUCUGUGAGGAGGACCGAUCAAGGGGAUGCAUCGUGACGCCUUUUGUUAUGAUGAAGUCAUUGAAGGGAAAACCCACAAAGGACUAAAAACAAACGGCGUGGCUACUGAGGUUGGACUGAGAGGGCGACUGGAUCCUGAAAUGUGAAGACUGGGAGGAAUGGAGAGAAUCCAUGCUGCUAAUGCUGCUGUCACAGGCCCCCCACGGGCCUCAGACCCACAGAACACAUAACAGAACAAGAGCACUCCGCUGUCUGGGCCUCAGAUGCUUUACUGUGUGGAUGAAUGCCUCUAUGACUGAUGCCUGGCGUGAUGGGAAAACACCAUGCUGAUCAAGUAGGAACACAACCAGCCCUCUGCUCAGUCUCUCUUCACAGCAGCAUCCUUUCAACUCCAGUCAGGAAGCCCAGCGUACUGAAUAAGAUGAAGAGGAUAAUUUCAUAGUAUGUGAUAAUGAAGCAAAAGGAAAUGAAAUAACACAAACACUCAAACAAGCGGUAUAAUCAGCAUAAUUUUGUUGGUUUGAUGUUGGGGGGAUGUUGCCUAGUUUAGAGGCAGCUCUCCACAGAUGUUAGACGUGUGACAUGCUAAGAAAAAUAAUGUUCUUCUGGUAGUGUUUGAGUAGUCUUUGGAUUGACAUAGCCAGAUUACAGGGCUGUGUUAGUGGCUUGGGUGUGACUGCCUCAGUUGGGUUCGAUCCCCAAUGUCUGCAACCUAACCCGAAGGCUUUCUUGAGCAAUAUGUUGAGCAUCUUUUUUGACCUGAUCUAAAUUUGCCUGUUAGUCACUUUGGAUACAAGCUCAAUAAGUGAAUAUAUAGUCAAGUCAAGUCACCAAUGACUGGACGGAAUCAUCUUCUUUUUAUAUUACAGGGAAAUGACAUAUGAUAAUUCUGUUUAUGUGCUACUAAAAUGUGGCGGGCACAGUUUAAUAAGGAACAAAUACUCACAUGAAGUCUUUAUGAAGUCAUUAAUUAAAAUUAUUUACUAUGCCCUUUAUGGUGGGUAGUGAUGAUGUAGAAAUAAAAUGAUGUGUAAAUAUUCAAAAGGAGAACUUAGUCCUCGGUUUACAGCGGCAGGUAAAAAGGCACACCUAUGAAACCCCAGGAACCGCUAGCGAUACUGGGCGAUAACACACAUAAACAAUAUAAAUACUGCACAUCAAUAUACGUUCCAGAAGAUUGAUAGCAUUAGAUGCAACGGUAAAUUUGACCAAUUCAAUGGCAUGAUUUUAUAACAACAGAGAGUAACGCAGUCCUGGGAUCCGCUGAUAAAGAGGUAGAUGACAUCUGUGCAUAAGAACGGCGAGGGUUUCGGUAAACAAGCUUGCUUGCAAAUAUUCAUGCAUUCACUGUGAGCGAUCUCAGGGCUGGUAUUACACGGGGCUGUCUGUGUGGUUAGUCAUCCUUCAAGCCACCCACCUGGUGUCUACCGGUGUAAAAAACAAAGAAAAGGGAUCUGAAAUGAGAAUCUGUUUCACUGACAGUAACUUCCCUAUAUUCCCAUGUAUAAACUCCAAUACUCACAACUCUUUCCGGUAAAGUUGAUGUGGUAAUUACCAUGACAUGGAGACACACACAACGACCCACAAGGUAUAUUGUCUACUAACUCUUAGGCAGGCAUGCACCCACACACGCACACAGACACACACAUACUCACAGAUGAAG